rnacentral:misc_RNA from 1 species
CAAUGUAUUGUCAAUAGAUGAAAUAUAUAAGCUAUCAGUGUAAAUUGAUAGAUGUCCAUAAGUUUCAAAUUGUAUUUUACUUCAUUUAAGUAUUUGCGCUUUUUGUUUACAACAAUUUUCAAAAUAUAGCUGCGUUAUGUUAUUUAUAUGCAUGUAGAAGGAUAGACAUAAAAUUCUAAUAAUUAUGAUAUAUAGACAUAAGUUGGAAAAUCUAUACAAAAAAAAAGUAUGGAAGUAAAUGGAUUCUAUACAUGUAUUGCUAAAUUACUGCUUUCGAAGAGUUAUGUUAUAAACCGUCCGACAAUAUUGUAAACCUCAUUCGCUUUCUCUUACGGAAACAAUAUUUACAAUGGCGCCAAAAUUUCUUAUGGUAAAAAGGAUUGUUUUUAUAUUGGUACUGUGCACUUUGAUUUCCGUUCCGCUUCGAAUGUUAUUGAGUGAAAAUAGUGCUCAAACUGAAUUGGACGGACUUAAUUAUCAACAAAAGAACAUAAAAAGGGGUGUCUCCACAGAUUCUAAAGGACAACUUCUUCACAAACAGUCAAAUUCAAUGAAGCAAAGAACAAAGUGUUCAGCACAUUUACUGUAUAACAAAAUUUUCCAGCAAGAAAAUUUAGUACACAAGGACUUAAAAUUGGAACAAAAUAUCGAAAAAUAUUGUGGAGCAAGAGAAAAUGUUUACAGAAUCUUGGAUAUGGACCCUAUACGAUUUGACCCAGCCUUUAAGAAUCCCUGCUGGAUAGGGACAAAUGAUAACGGACCUGUUGCAGACGAUCAAAUACAUUGUCUUCCAUACUUUUAUAUUUUAGGAGUGAAAAAGUGCGGAACUACUGACAUUUUUUCAAGACUAAACCUCCAUCCAUUGUUCAAAAAAGCAGGAGUGAAAGAGCAUCAGUGGUUUCCAAGGUUACGGUUUGGCCGUGCAGUUGGUAAUCCAGUCAGCAACGAAUACAUAAAAGGUCUUAUUAGAGAUGGUCCCGAUGUACAGAGUGUCAAUUUCUACAUCGCUAUGUUUGAUCCGGUGUCACGGUAUAUUCAGUCGAAUCCAGGUCGGGUCAAGACUGGAAAUGGAAAAAAGGUCAAAGAAUGGAGUGGACAGAAAUACCACAUUAUUACAGGUGACGCAACAACAAACACAAUGUUCGAGAAUCCAAGAUGGCGGUCAUGGCCCGGAAAUGAAGGUCUUUCAGAGCCGCAUUAUACAAACUUACACUACAUCAAGCAUUUAACCCCGGCCGCAAAAAUUAUCAUAUUUUUUCGCGACCCAGUUAAACGAUUAUAUUCGGACUUCCUAUAUACAAUGAGGUACAAGUUUGAGAAAUUGAUAUCACCGCAGUUAUUCCAUAAGCAGGUCCUGCAUACAAUAGCAGCAUAUAAGGACUGCUUCAAAGAUCAUAGUUUGCGGCACUGUUUUUACAACGAGACAAUAAAAGAAAACAUGAAACAGGAAGGAAUACAGUUUGGCGAAGCGUUUCACGGCGGUUUCUACGCAUUCUUAAUGAGAGAAAUAUAUUCUGUAUUUGACAAACAAAAUGUGUUACCUCUAGUGAUGUUUGACAAGGAAUACAGUACCGCAAAAACUAUGAAGAGGGUGUUUCUAUUUUUAGAAAUAGGAAUACCUGACAAGGAGGUGAUGACGAUGAUGCUGCGGAACCACUCGUACAAUAACACAACAAAAAAGAAACGAAAAUAUGGUUCAAUGUUGAACGAGACAAAACGUGUACUACAGGAGUUUUAUCGACCCUACAACCAAGAAAUGGCUGAAGCUAUGAAAGAUGACAGAUAUCUGUUUGACUAUUGACAAUAUUCACCCUCAAAAUCAAUGUAUAAUUGUGCUGUCCAGUGUCAAUAAACCAGAACCAACCCUUGUUCAUCGCAAACAAAGGCGUUCAACCUUGUUAGUAGAGAUGGACACUUGAAAAUGCUCACGAAGAUAAGGCUGUCCUCCAAACUUAACUGUAACUCAGCAUAGAAAGAUGUUUCCCUGACGAAAUGACGAGUGCUGUCCACCUCAGCUGAACUUGAAGUAAAGAGAGGAUUCAAACAACGCUGCAUACUAAACCCCACAUUCUUUGGAACUGAAUUCUUCGCCCUUCUCAUCAAACACGCGUUUGGUACAUUCACCGCCAAUGUUAACCUUCAGUCCAUGUCUGACGGUCGUUUAUUCAAUAUAUCCAAGUUCAAAGCCAAGUCAAAGAACAAAAAGAUAUUCAUCAGAAAUAUGCUCCAAGCAGACGACCGUGUAGUAGCCUCAAAUUAACAAAAUCUGUAAAAAGAUCCUUUGGAAGCAAAGAAUGCAACCAAGAUGAAUAAUAGCUGACUCGGUUUGACUGAGUCUGUUCAUGAGAGGUAAUAAAAUAUGCAACACCUCUCAUGCCAGUGAGAAUUGCAGCUCACCAAAAGAGUCUAGGGAAAAUACACAUCUGACAAUAGUAAGGAAAAUUAAGGUCUUCAAAGGCUUUGUCAUUAGUUCCCUACUCUGUGGAAGCAAAUCCUGGACAACGCAUGCAGCACAAGAAAGAAAAGUCCAGGUGAUCGAUCUUUAUUGUCUGCGCUGAGUACUAGGCAUCACGUGGAAAGUAACCAGUAAUGACGUCCUUACAAAAGCGGGACUUUCUUCUAUGUACACUCUCCUCCGCCAAAGCCUCCUACGCUGGCUCGGUCACGUUUACAGAAUGGAUGAUACAUGUAUACCAAAUGAUCUGCUAUACAGGGAACUGCCACAGGUGCAAGGAGCAGAGGGCGGCCACAGCUUCCAUUCAGUGAUGUCGGCAAGAGAGACCUAAAAGCAUGUGGCAUAGACACGGAGUCCUGGGUGUCAAAAGGAAACAGGAAGUGAAUAAGAGCUUGAAGGCAGGAGAGGAAGCCAUCCAAGUCGUGAGUGAUGAAAAGAGGGCCAGACGCAAUACAAGCCGUCUUCAAAGGACAGCAACACCGAACAUCAUCACAUGUAUGUCAGUGAUGUAACAGGGUCCACGCAUCCAAAUUCCUACGCAGUGAUCUCCCUUGCCACUACGCUCUCAUUGAUCACUGCCGAUACAAUCUUUUUAUCUAAAAUUCAGCUAAGUGAAAAUUUUUAUUCAUGCGUCAGCAAAGAUUUGAAAAUUGAAAUUUGUUACGAAGGUGACCUUAAUUAUUAAUUCUGGCAGCUUUUUUCACUUAAAGUACAUCUUUUUAUCACAAAGGAAACAAUUAAGGGGAACCCGUUUUCGCAAUGUUUACCGAUCAUCACGUGCUGUGGUCAUGUAAAUGUUGUGUUGGCAGUGAUCAAAUAGAGCGUAGUGGCAAGGGAAAUGACUGUAGGAGUUUGCUACGCAUCUCGUAUAUGACUAUUACAAACUGACGACCAAGAUGAUGUGUUUUUAAAAUGUCUAAACAUUUUAUAGAGCAAAUAAAGCAGUAUGCACAGUACUUGGUGUAUUCUGAUUAGUUUGUACCACACUUUGUUUCUACAGUGCAAGAUAAUUAAUAAUUUGACUGACUAAGUUUGCAGAUUAAAUGAUGUCAUAAUUGUGUACCGGUCAAGUUGGAUGAUAUUAUGCGUUGCCUAUCUGACGGGGAAACCUAGUCAUGUUCGGUUAUAUUGAUUAUUUCUGCAUAAAUUGUUCUUUCUGAUAUUUCCAGUAAGCCUG